GGAGCAGUGAUCUAGACCUUCCGAGUCGAAAACUUAAGAAGCAGGAGGGAUUCGCGCAAAAGUUGACACUUUGUACAAAACCACUAAAAGAUUUUUCAGAGAAAAUUUCAAAUUGCGAUAUCUCCUGAAGUAUUCAUAUUUCGACCUUAAAAAUUUAGGGUCAUCUUACCCUAGUGGUAGGUAACAUUUGACCACAAAAGGAACGAAAUCGGCAGUGGUCACCUACGCGGCCUGCUAAUUGGGUCUGGAAUGCCCCUAUAACCGAUUUCAUCGCGGUGGUGAGAGCGUGCAACGUCCCCGACCAAGUCUUUAGUGGCAAGGGCGAGUGCGCCCCACUUAUCUGUCCACGCCACCGGAAGAUGACUCCACCUGGGAAAACAAAACAGUGGCUCCUGGGGAAGGCGGUGGCCGAGUGCCCCGCCAAACAACUCAUGCAGAGGUGAAUUCGACCGCUCCACCCCGACACGUCCGCACAGGGGGCACAAUUCUUGCUAAUUAUUACGUCAUCGGCGGUAGUGGUGCAAGAAGCAUAUCACCAUGUCCACACACUCCGCUGCCCCGUGUGCGGACACGACUUUCACAGCCAGUCGGCGUUGGAAGACCACAUGCGCCAAAAAGACAUGCAUUGGCAGAGCAGUUCAAGUUAUGGAAGCUACUGGACAACCAAGAAGUUACAAGUUUACUGAUAUUGUUAUAAUUGUUAGUCUACAUGACAUUGUAAGUCUAGUUAAUCCGUACUUUCAAGCCAAAGGGACAAUUGUGAAACUUCGAGUAAGUGAUGCUAAGGCAGCAGAUGUAAAAUUAAAAUCUAAGAAAAAAAAUAUGUUUUGAAGCAAGGUAUAACUUGCAGCUACAGUUAUACUACUUUAAAGGUUCAGAGGAAGGUCAGAUAAUUUUUAUGUAUAAAAACAACUUUGAAUAAACACCCAGCAUUUUAAA